ACUAACAGCAGCAGGUUCCCCAAAUAACAUUAGGAAUAUUUUGUUUGGAAAUAGUGAACGUUCAGUGCUCAAAAUAGCUAAUAAAGGGAAAUGGUUACUACCCAAUACAUGAUAAACUCUUUUUUUUGUAGUCAAUCUAGAAUUAUUUGCGUCCGUGGGGACUUUUUAAGAUGAACAUCGGGACUUACCACAAGUCGUGUAGGCCGUAGGGACAUGGUCGAAAAUAAGUUGGCAACACACGAUAGUUUUCCUUUUGUUGAUAACUGUUGAUUCGAACAAAAUUUCGUAAUUGUGCCAACUGUGUACUGAUGAAUGUCGUAGUCCCUUCUGUAUAAGUACUGGACCUUAUAGUUACAGAAAUUGAGGCCACAAUGACAGUAGAAUUGAAUCAGCUGGGAGAUGCUCUGCCUGCAUUGCAGUUUUCUUCAGUUGCAAGGCAAUUGGGGCAGCAGUGUAGCAGUAGCUUAAUAACCAGGUUAUGUGACGGCACACAGACAUUUUUUGUCAUCGAUUACCACAUUCCCUCAUUUGUGAUAAGUUUUGAUACAUCAAGAGCUGGUAUUUCAUGAUUUGCCUGAGGUGAAACAUCAGUUUUGAAGAUGAAAUUUGUGGUAUCGUAAUGGAGCAAGCAAUGGGGAACAUAGCAGCACACUGAACAAAAGCAUAUGCAGAUGAUGAUUGACGACAUCCCGUGUUUUACAAAUUCCAGUUUUGAAGAUGAAAUUUGUGGUAUCGUAAUGGAGCAAGCAAUGGGGAACAUAGCAGCACACUGAACAAAAGCAUAUGCAGAUGAUGAUUGACGACAUCCUGUGUUUUACAAAUUCCAGUCUCAAUACAUCACAUAUGAAUAACACAGUUGUUUUGUGUAAGCGCUACUCAAAGAUGAAGAGGAAGUUGUGGUGGGUUGCAUCAAACCAGUCAGAACAACGCUUAUGAAAUUUUCAUUACUUCCUCUUACAAGUGUUGUACGCCCCUUUUCGUGCUACAGACAACCCUAAAGUGGUGUACUAAAUGUCAUUUUUCUUUCUGGCAUCGUAAUUAUCUACCUCAUUGUUCAUUGUGAGCUGUGGUGUAUUAUGAACAACAAACGUCAUGAGGGAAUAAAUAUACUGUGAAGCAGUAGUCAGAAUGCUCAACUCUUUUAACAGAUGUCUACAAGAUGAUCAUGGUGACAGCAGUGUUCGUCGAGUCUUUUGGUACAGUGAGAGUUUCUUCUGGAUGUGGAACAGGCGUAGCUUGCACUCACCUGAAGGUGCAACCCUCGACAUUACCAGAAGGCUUGGAUGUGGUGCCAGGGCUGUGGAAAGCUCUACACUGCACAGCUCUUUGCUAAGUCAUUAGUCAAAAAUUCACACACUGUGGCUAGUCUCUUAUUGACUACUAUUCUUGUUGUGACCAUCCAUAUCUUUAUCUUGAAGAGUCAGGAGUGUUCUGAAACAGGUUAAAGUAAAUGUGCUUUUUCACGUAUUUGCGGACUAUUUACAGUAAAACAGGCAUAUUUCAUGUGAGAAAGUUUUGACAUUGACUAAGUUCUGACAGUAAAUGAAAGGUAUGUGGAUGUAGAUCUCCUCUUUCAUGUCAUGUUAUAGCUAAUGCCCAGUAAUGAUUUUAGAAGAUGCUUGAGAAAUAUUUGAUAUUUUUAACAUACAUUAAUUUUUUAUGGACCAACAUUUGUUUAAUGAAUGUUUCUAUCAAUUGAAAUGUCUUUCACAUGGUGAAAAUGAACUUAUCUAAUCACCCAGAUAUGUUUUGACUUUGUUAACAAGGCAUCAUUAAUGGCUGUCAUGGUAUGUUACAUUAUGUUGGUUACCAGAUGUUGAUUUAGGUUUAAAAUAUUUUACACACAAGUUUUGCCAUAAAACGCAACGGUUACCCCCUUUCUGUUCUUUUGAAUAUUAUUCAUAUGUUGGUUAAAAUUUCUGUUUUUCACUAAAUUCUUUGGCUAUAUUGGGAUGUCCUAACUGAUGCAAAUUAUAUAUCUGUUGUUCAAAAUUGCCCACACCAAGAAACUUGAAUUAUUUGUGUUGUGUUGGUAUUGACAGCAUUGUGCCCUAGUGUGCAAGUGGUUUUAUUGUGGCAUUUUAGUGUGUAAAGAAAGUUUUAGCAGUAGUGUUAGCAAAUGGACAGGCCUGAAGAGUUUUUAAUAUGCAUGCUUAAAACUUGUCAGAUCUUUAGAAAUUAAAGUAAAUCUUCAGAAAGAUA